GGGAGGGGAGCUGAGCGGCCUGGGUACCUGCGGCGGCCUUGCAUCCCCUCCCCGCAACCCUCCCGCUCCCCCCACCCCGUCCCGGGAAGCGGAAAAUGCCUUCGUUUUUAGAAGGCCGAAAGCGCCAACGCUCCCCAGGACCCGGGACCGACAGGACCCGGGACCGACCCGGUCGGGCUGGUCCUUCCCCCCUCCUCCUCCCUUGCCCCACCUCACCCCCGCCUUGGGCUCCCUAGUAUUAUCCCCCCUCCGGUGGGGGGGUCUGGGCCCAGGUCCCCGGGGCCCGGCCUGGUGCUCCUCAUGCAGUAUUUGUUUCAUAAAGGUAUUUUGCGCCAUCACUGGAAGGAGGGGUGCGGGCCAAAUCUGCCAGCGCCGAUGGAGGCAGGCCCCGAAGGGCGGGCUUGGGCAGAGAGCUGUGCCCUGCUCCCCGUCCCCGUCCCCGUCCCCGUCCCCGUCCCCCUCCCCAGAAGGCCCAGAAAAAGGUCAUGGUCCCGAGCGGCGUCAGGAGGGGAGUUGUAGCCUGGGCUAUGGCACGCUUAUUACAGCACAGAAUUUGGCUCACCGCUCGCUUGUUUUGAUCCCCUCCGGACUGUAAAUACGCACUAUUUUGGUAGCGAACAUCGGGGGCAAAUAGAUCUUACUCCCUGAUGGGUAUCGAGUCUGCCAUUUUAAUGAUUGCGGGACUUGACGUGCAAAAAGCCGCCACAACCACAGAAAAACUUCCUCUGUCCUUCAAAGUGACCGUUUUGCGAUGCAGGUUUUUAAAUCCUUCAUGUCUCCACAGAAUCCGGUAACUGUCCUUUUGAUCUGGAUAUUUCCCGGGCGGGGGGGAAAAGGGGAAAUCUCUGCACACUCCCCCCGCACUGUCGUGUCCGUCCCCGGUGCGAUUGCCUUUUCCACGUGUAAAUAUGAAGAUAAUGAAUCAGGGGAGGAGUAAUUAAUCCCGCAGACUACCGUGUUACUCCGGGUACCAUUAGCCCGCGCCACACCAUUCAUCCUAAAUUUCUCUCUUAAAUAUGGGACCUCCUUCUCCCAGUGCAACUGCCUGAAGGAUAUAUAGUCAAUCUCACUAACCCUUGUCAUGGGCCCAGGGUAUCUGGGAUACUUUAAACCGCCGCUUUUAAAGACAGAGGUGUGGAAAUUCUCUGGGAGAAGCUUCUUGAUUCAAUCUCUCCGGGGUAAAAAGAAGUUGAAAAGACAGACGAAAUUGCCAAUUGUACAGUGACUGACAACGGAGCUUUUCAGUAUCAAAAGUCAUUUUCUUUGCUUUCUUUGUUCAGACCGUAUCGUUGAUAAACUCAGAAGGUCAAACAGUGCAGUGUGGAGGUCUGAGACCCAUGUUUACAUCUGCGUUUCUGCGUCAAUGUUUUCAAUAUUCAAUUUUCGAGACCUGAAAGACCACUUUGUUUCACCCUAGUCGGCAGACACUGCUAUUGACAAUGGUUUUUUUUUAAAUAAAAAAAGUUUACAGACCAAAUGUGAAAUAAACAUCAAUUAAGCAUAGCUGUCCAUUAUACGUGUUUUCAAAAGUUUCGAACUUCAGGAAGAAUUUUUGAAAAAAAAAAAGAUGUGAGCUGUCGAACAAUGGGUUAGUUGAGGACAGAGAGAAAUGACAGUGUCUUGUCUGUUUCUCUGCCAUAGUAAGUCCUUUCAGGUCCUGUUUUUUUAAAAAAAAGACUCAAGGUGAUAGAGGAUGAUUUCCUCUUAGAAGGGGGAAGCAUUGGAUUCUGAGUUGUUAACUGAGAGCUCAGUUAAAUGUACAGAAGAGAUAGCGACAUUGACUAAUUUGAAAAAUGCCAUUCAGAACUUCUUUUCAGGGGCAAAUGAAACCAGCAGAUCUUCUUAUUUCCAAGGGCUUCACGAGAAGGGCUGUGAAAAUCCAUUUGCCUAAAAACCUGCAAAAACUCGUACUCUAGCCUGAUGGAGUUUGCUUUCCCCUGAGAGUGGUUCUGGAAAUGGUGGAGCUGACGGGGGGGAUAAGGACAAAAGCUCACAAGAUUUCACAUGAGAAGGGAUUCAGAUAGAGAUUCAAUCGGUAAGCGGAACUGCAGGACCCUAGAGGCCGGGGUGAUGCCUGAAGAAGAUGUCCAAAGAACCAGUUAUGUCCUUGAGGACGGGCUGUGACAGGCACAAAGGCAUCAGAGCAAGGAGACUCCAUCAUCAUUACUGUUGUCAUCCAUCAUCACCAUC